ensembl:snRNA U6 U6 spliceosomal RNA
GUGCUCGCUUUAGCAGCCCAUGCAAUAAAAUUGGAAUGUUGCAGAGAAGGUUAGCAUGGCCCCAGUGCGAGGAAGACACAGAUUUGUGAAGCGUUCCAUAUUUUU